CACCACGGCGGCGAACCCCCGCUUAUUCCUCCAGCAACACCCGCUUUUCCUGCAGCAACACCCGCUUUUCCUGCAGAAACACCCGCUCUCCCCCCACAAAACACCCGCUUCUCCCUCAGAAACACCCGCUCUCCCCGCCCCCCUGAAACAACCGGGUGAGGCGACUCUGCGGCCGCGCCGCCAUUACAGCGGCGGGCGCGCUCCGCCGGCUGUGAGGCGAGAGAAAGCGGCGGGGUUUUCGGAGCGAGAUAAAAAUCUUAUUAUGCAACGCACAUUUUUCAUAGAUUAUUGCCGAGUCCAGGGCUAAGAAGGAUCUAUUUAUGUGGUUACACAUGCACAGAGAGAACAUUAAAGCAGCAUAUGGGUUUAUGUGAACAAAAGGUAAGGAUGAGGUGUUUCACCUGACUCUUGACAGGAUUUACUGUUGCCUUUGUGCAAUGGAAAAGGCCUCCUACUCUAAGAAAUUCUUUAAUUUUCUUUUAUAAAUCUUAACCUAAUUCUUUUCCCAUACAAACACGAGCCUGCUCAACCCUGUCGUUCUACCAGAAGAGAUUAAAAUUUUUCAGCUCAUCUCUACAGUACUAAAUCACAGGCAUCUCCAAACCCACUCAAAAUCCCAAAUCCCAGCUAAAUCACUGAUUCAUCACUUCUGGCAGCAAACGACACUGGAAGGAGGAGAUGAAGACAAUGGUAGAGAAAGAGUAUCAUCUACUUUUCCAUUACUACAACUAGAAAUUGCCAAGAAAAUGAAAUGCUCAAGCACAGCAGACGCUGCUUUUCUUCUCAUUAAAUCUUAAAACUUGGUUCCAGUGGGAUCAUAUUUAGUCCUCUCAAAUUCAGAACAGGAUUUCAUCCUGCCUCGACAUCCCAACAAUGACAUUUUAUAAAUAUUACGAGUUUCUUGGACGCCUUUCUCAUUCCACAAGGAGCAGAGAAGCACCAGUAAAAAUUUUUUCUUCUUCCCCUUCUUGAGAUUUUUUUUUAAACCUUAAAUGUAACCAGCCCUCCUUUCAAUCCAUUUUCUCUAGGAUUUUUUUGAGAACCUCUGGAAGUCUCACAGAUUUUUCUGAGAUGUAAUAAGUGUGAAAAAUCUUUGUCAAAGGAUUGUCUUUAUUCAAGCAUUAAGCUCUCAUUGAGAGAGGUGUUGGAAAUAAACAAGUGCUUAAAAACAGCCUAAAAGUUGUCUUAAAUAUUCACCUGCUCUCCAGCUGAGACAGGACCUGGAUUUCUAAAUCCAAGAGGAGAAAACAAUAAU